rnacentral:tRNA from 1 species
GCCUGGGUGGCUCAGUCGGUUGAACACCUGAUUUCGACUCAGGUUGUGACCUUGAGGGGUUUGUGGGUGUGAGCCCCACGUCGGGCU